rnacentral:rRNA from 1 species
GACGAACGCUGGCGGCGUGCCUAAUACAUGCAAGUCGAGCGAUGAGGCUUGGUGCUUGCACCAAUUUGAAGAGCAGCGAACGGGUGAGUAACGCGUGGGGAAUCUGCCUUUGAGCGGGGGACAACUUUUGGAAACGAAUGCUAAUACCGCAUAACAUCUUUAAACAUAAGUUUUAAGUUUGAAAGACGCAAUUGCAUCACCCAAAGAUGAUCUCGCGUUGUAUUAGCUAGUUGGUGAGGUUAAGGCUCAACAAGGCGAUGAUACAUAGCCGACCUGAGAGGGGGGUCGGCCACAUUGGGACUGGGAAAAGGCCCAAGCUCACUCGGGGGGCAGCAGUAGGGAAACUUCGGGAAUGGGCGGAAGUCUGACCGAACCACGCCGCGUGAGUGGAGAAGGUUGUCGGGUCGUAAAACUCUGUUGGUGGGGAAGAACCUUGGUGAGAGUGGAAUGCUCAUCAAGUGACGGUAACUACGCAGAAAGGGACGGCUAACUACGUG